rnacentral:RNase_P_RNA from 1 species
CGCCGGACGGUCGCGCGGUAUGUUGCCGAAAGGUAUUACCGUGAGGAAAGUCCGGGCUUCACAGGACAGGAUAGCCGAUAACGUCGGCCGCGGGUAACCGCCGGGAAAGUGCAACAGAAAGAAACCGCCGCUUUGCGGUAAGGAUGGAAAGGCGAGGUAAGAGCUCACCCGUUCCCAUGGUGACAUGGGUCCGCUGUAAACCCUAUCCGAAGCAACACCCCAUCGGGCGCCGGUCCGGCAUAUGCCCAGAGGUGGCACGGGAAAUUCCUUCCCGAAGCAUUCCGGCAACGGGAUGCGCAGAUUGAUGACCGUUCAAGACAGAACCCGGCUUACAGACGGAG